UAUAGUAAAUUAGUUAGAGAUAGUGUUGGGCAUAGACAUGCAUCAGUCACCGGAGAUUUCAUUGGCUCGAGCUAGGAGCAUGCCGGCGGGGACUUUACCGGUAUGUGAAUCAGGAACUGCGGCGAGAGUGACGAAGGGAGGAUCCGAAGGCACCGUCGCCGGAAUUUUCUAGAAGUGAACUAAUAACGGCAAAAAGUAAUGGAGAUCGAGGUGGUUUUCGCUUCGUAAUAGUGUUAUCUUACUCCAAGAUUCACCGGCCGCAGGCGCUAAGCCUCCUCUCUCCGACCGGUGACGUCAGAUUGAUAGCCUGAUAUAUAUUGCUUUGGGGCUUCUCGGAAUUCAGUGCAACUGAAUCAUCUGAUGAAGAUGAAACCUCCUUCUAUGACACAAAACAGUAUUUCACCGAACUCGCUGUUAGUUUUCAAUGCUUAAGAAGGGCAGCUGAUCGAGCAGAUAAUCAGAAAGAAACUGAAAAUUAUUGUGGAAAAGAUGCAUGGUGAUAAAGAAGAUUGUGAUUCUGGAUAUCCUCAAAUCGAAAGGCGAAAAAAGCUUCCCGAUCCAGUUCUAAGAGAGAAAGGGGUUAGCCUUUGGUCUCUGAUCAAAGACAAUGUGGGAAAGGAUCUGACACGAGUUUGUCUCCCUGUUUACUUCAAUGAGCCAAUAUCAUCCCUUCAGAAAUGUUUCGAGGACCUAGAAUAUUCGGAUCUUUUGGACAGAGCAUACAAGUAUGGAAAAGAAGGGAACAGCCUCCAACGGAUUCUUAAUGUUGCUGCAUUUGCUGUUUCCGGGUAUUCUUCUUCUGAAGGCCGGCAUUGUAAGCCUUUCAAUCCUUUACUAGGAGAAACUUUUGAAGCGGACUAUCCUGAAAAAGGACUUCAUUUCUUCUCUGAGAAGGUUAGUCACCAUCCAACCCUUCUUGCAUUUCAUUGUGAAGGCAAAGGGUGGAAAUUCUGGGGUGAUAGUAACCUCCGCUCGAAGUUUUCCAGGCGUUCAAUUCAGCUUGACCCUGUUGGCGUUCUGACCCUGGAGUUUGAUGAUGGUGAAACAUUUCAGUGGAGCAAGGUAACUACUAAUAUUUAUAAUCUCAUCCUUGGUCAAGUGUAUUGUGAUCACCAUGGAUUGAUGCAAAUCCGUGGGAACAGCCAAUAUUCAUGCAAACUCAAAUUCAAAGAGCAAUCUAUUAUUGAGCGGAACCCUCACCAGGUCCAUGGAUUUGUUGAAGACCAUUCAGGUAAAAAGGUUGCUACAUUAUUUGGCAAAUGGGAUGACAGCAUGUAUUAUGUCAACGGUGAGGUGAAGGGGAGUGGCAAGCCAAAGGUCUGCUGUCCUUCAGAAGCCACCUUGCUAUGGAAAAGGAAUGAGCCAGCUCCUAAUCGGACUCGCUACAACUUAACAUCAUUUGCGAUCACACUAAAUGAGAUAACACCGGGGUUGCAGGAGAAGCUCCCACCUACAGAUUCUAGGCUUCGACCAGACCAACGUCAUUUAGAGAACGGGGAAUUUGAUGGAGCAAAUUCAGAGAAACAACGGUUGGAAAGGAGGCAAAGAAUGUCGAGAAAACUACAAGAAAGUGGCUGGAAACCUAGAUGGUUCCGGAAAGAUGGUAACGGAAGCUACCACUACGUGGGCGGAUAUUGGGAAGCAAGAGAGCAGGCGAACUGGGAUGGAUGCCCAGAUAUAUUUGGUGAAUUCAAUGAAGAAACUGUUGAUUCCUCUGGAUGAUAACUCGACUCGUAUUCAACACUUGCAUCCAUUUCAAAGUAACAUGAAUGAACAAACAUUAAGGGAUAAUCAUGGAGCACAUUCAGACAAACUUUGAUUCCAGAUUACCGCCAUUAUCUGUUCUCAGAGAUUGCAGACCAAUUUUCAGAUGUUCAUCCCAUGAGGCAACCAAUAUUUGGACCUGAUGCAGCGGAUGAAUAAGAGAAGUUAAUGGAAGUUCAAGGGAUUCAAACCAUAUAUAAUGAAAGUUUUUGUUUUGAGAAAAUGUUAAUUUUAUUGAUUCAAACAUCGAUUUUUAAAAAUAUAAUGUAUAUAAUUAUUGAUUUAAUUGUAAUAUUUCAUUUGUAAAUUGAUAAAUUUCACCUUUUGAAUUUAUUCAUUUAUUAUGUAUUACAUUUGAAUCCAACAGAAAUGAGAAGCAUAUUAAUGA